rnacentral:rRNA from 1 species
UACAGAGGGGGCAAGCGUUGUUCGGAAUUACUGGGCGUAAAGGGCGCGUAGGUGGCCUUCUAAGUCGAACGUGAAAUCCCCGGGCUCAACCCGGGAACUGCGUCCGAUACUGGAAGGCUUGAAUCCGGGAGAGGGAUGCGGAAUUCCAGGUGUAGCGGUGAAAUGCGUAGAUAUCUGGAGGAACACCGGUGGUGAAGGCGGCAUCCUGGACCGGUAUUGACGCUGAGGCGCGAAAGCCAGGGGAGCAAACGGG